UCUGGUGUAAUCAGCUGUUUGAGUCUAACUCUGGUCUAUUUGCUUUUGUUUUCAAUCCGUAAACUGAACUCACUGCUGAAGGAAGAAGAACCUACAGAGCUGACAAAGAGGGUCUCAGUGGCCCCCCUAAAAUAUGGGGACGAUUCAGAUUGCUCAACUGAUAUUGAAACUCAGUCUCAGCAAGCAAAGAAGUCAAAGGCUCCCAGGAGGAUAGACCCUGCAGAAGAGUUUCUUAGGCGAUACGGUCAAUCACAGCCUUCUUCAGAUAAUCACAACAGUCCGACACAGACUAUGGUUGAAUUAAAGCAAGAGAUCAAGGACCUGAAAGAAGAGAACGUGAAGUUGAAGGAGAUUGUUCUUUAAGAUGUGCCAGGACUCCUACUGAGCUUGAGGAAUAUAAUAGAUUCGGCUACACCUCCUAAGAGAUCCAGGGUGGAGCCUACCAAAGCAUUACCGGCCCUUCCAGGGUCUCCGCAGUCCAGGUCCAGUUCUCCAUGUGCCACUUCACUGUCCCUCCCCAGAUCCAGUUCCACAUCUGUGUCUCCAUCCCUGACUGCCUCCCAGUCUUCUAAGGUAAUUGUUUUUUAAUACAGCAUAUAAAAUAGAUCUACUGCUUGCCAGACUUGCUUUUAAUUCAAUUCAAUUCAAAUUUGCUUUAUUGGCAUGAAUGUAACAACAAUAUUGCCAAAGCGUCCCACAAACCACAUAAAAACAAUCAACCCCAUACAUUUCAUUAAACAAGUAAUUACAGUGUAAAGUAAUGAGUAUGGCAGAUCUAAUCUGCUUAUAUGUCUAAAGUCUGUUGGGCUGAAGAAGUCAGACAUACUGGUAUUUUAAACUUUAAUGCUCACCUUGUGUCCAGGUUGAGAAACUGGCGUGGGCCUAUGCCAUCAAUGCCAAUUCGGCAAUAGUCUUUGUGAGGCAUCUGCUCACCGCAGUCUUUCCAGUGGAAAUACUGCUGGUGAGCAAUCUUCGGGGGAACAAACAAGGCGGAGGAGUGGCUCAUCAACCGUUAGAGCACAUUAAACUGUUUUGUUUGCUCUGAGUUUCACACAGGUGUGUCACAUAGUCCUUGGCCCUGGGGCAAAACAGGUUCUGACUACUGUCUACUGAAAGUAUUUACUGCUUAUAGUGCCUGUUUAUUCUGAGGUAUCCAGUGUGCAGAAAAAUAAAACUGGCAUAUAUGUAAGCCAUUAAGGCAUUUGAAGUUUACAUUCUAAAAUGUUUUUGUUUGUGUACUUUGCAAUUUCAAAAUCGAGUAUACUCAAGAUAUCUAAGUAAACAGUAUAGGCAAUAUCAGCAUUAUGCUCAGAGCGAUUGAUUGCACUUAAGCCCCAUGCCUCGUUCCUUGAAUGUGAAUACACCUGUUUGUAUUGACAAUGUUUAGUUGUUGGUGACACUAUUCCCAUGUUAGAAUAGGAAUAGGAUAAGCAUGUGCUCCUCAGGUUUGUAUGCAGGCUUGUAGUGUGUGAAAAUAUCAAAUUGUGAAAGAUAUUCCUAUGUAGUCACAAGUUCAUUUAAAUCUAAUAUUUGAAAACAAAUUGUUGUUAGGAUUAGGGUUUACUGCUGUCAGUACUGUAAUCACAGAAGAGUUUAACUG
rnacentral:lncRNA from 1 species